rnacentral:rRNA from 1 species
AUUAAAGCCUUCGGGCGCUAAAGGAGGGGCCUGCGUCUGAUUAGCUUGUUGGUAAGGUAAUGGCUUACCAAGGCGAUGAUCAGUAGCUGGUUCGAGAGGAAGAUCAGCCACACUGGAACUGAGAUACGGUCCAGACUCCUACGGGAGGCAGCAGUAAGGAAUCUUCCGCAAUGGACGAAAGUCUGACGGAGCAACGCCGCGUGCAGGAUGAAGGCUUUCGGGUCGUAAACUGCUUUUGUAUGGGAAGAUUAUGACGGUACCAUACGAAUAAGGACCGGCUAACUACGUG